rnacentral:RNase_P_RNA from 1 species
AUGAGCUGGUGGGUAGCUUUCGGGCCUCUGAGGCCUGAGGAAACUCCAUCCACCGUGCAGAGCCGCGACACCGUGAGGUGUAGGGCGAGAGUCUUGGCUACUGAGCAGAAACGGAACGUCCAUCAUCAAUUGACGGUGAUACGUGUUAAGUCGUUGAGGAUGGUGAUGGAAGCGGUGAAACGGCUGACCCGCGGGGUGCAAGGGCAAGUAGGCGUCUGUGAGGUCUGCGUGAGACGCGGGUGGCCCGCUUAGUUGGAUGCUACCUAGAACAGAAGAUGGGUUACGGCCAGCACAC